GCCCCUGUCGUCCAAUGGCUAGGACAUCACCACUCAACCAAAUGAAAUCUCGGUGAAGAUCGGCGUUCAACUCGUCGUACGGGCG